GUUAAACUACAAGAUUUUUGGCAAUAAUUAUUGAAAUAUUGAAGAAAACUAAUAAUAAAUGAGAAAUGCUACGUCCACAACAAUUUUACAACAUUUCCUACCUAUCACUGCCAAGUCACAAAACACAACUUAAAAUAAUCUGACUAGGAAAACAAAACAAAGAAAAUCAAAUAAAAUUCAAAACAAGAUAAAAAGAUUAAGAAAACAAAACAAAAGUUCAAAAACACCAGCAUAUUUCAGUGAAGAGGGAAAGGAAGGGGUUCUGGAGAAGAAUCUUGCUCUCACACACCGAAGGCAGAGGCGAAGGUGGAGGCAGAGGCAAGAGGGCAAAGGGCAGAGGCAAAGGCAGAGGCAGAGGCAGAGGCAGAGGUAGAGGCACUCGACAUCUUCUCCCUGUCGUCGCCCAUCAUCGCUUCUCUAUCUUCCUCAAAACGACACAAGGAAGAAGAAAUCACAAGUGGUUCUAGGCUUGUAGAGUUGAAUGAGCACAAUAGUGAUAAUAAAAUGGAGGAUACAGUGGAAUUUCAAUGCACUUGGAGGGUCUUGUGUGCUUCUCUCUUCAUUCUUUUUAAAACAAUAAUACCGAUUUAUGUUUCUAAUUGAUGAGCUUUCUCUUUUCAUUCAUAAGUGAUUUGGGUCUUGCUUUUGGAGUUGUGUGCAUUGUAAAACAAUAUAUAGUGAUUAUGAAUCCAUGAGACAUUCAAAUAUUUCCUUAAUUGUAUUUAAAUGACGUAAGUUUUUUUUAUUAGUAAGUUGUACAUGCAGUUAGUGGGUCCUCCACUCUUCUUGUAGGAGGAGAAAGUGUAAUUUGUGUUAAAGCGAAUUGGCU